AACCCAAAUUAACAAGUCUUCGGCGUAAAGCGUGUUCAAACAAAAUACUAAUAAUAAAGUUAAUACUUAACUAAGUUGUAACACACUCCAGUUAAUACUAAGAUAAAUGAUUAAAAUAACUUUAAUAAAGCUGAUACACGAAAACUAAGGUACAAACUGGGAUUAGAUACCCCACUAUGCUUAGUCAUAAACCAAAGUAGUUAAAUAACAAAAUUACUCGCCAGAGAACUACUAGCUACUGCUUAAAACUCAAAGGACUUGGCGGUGCCCUAAACCCACCUAGAGGAGCCUGUUCUAUAAUCGAUAAACCCCGAUAAACCCAACCCCAUCUUGCCAAUA
rnacentral:rRNA from 1 species